CUCUAGCUGGAGAUCACUCCUCUUGGAGCCCUUCCAGGAGCCCAGGAUGUGGGUAUGUCUACACAAUGCAAAGUUACCAAAGUGUCUUAGACAUCAUGGAACAAGCUGAUAAUCCUACCUGGUCCUGUAUUGUGAGGGGAUCUCCAUGUAGCAUCACAUCUGAGCUAAUUAAUGCUGCCCUUCCUCCAGGCUAACCGGUGUUGAUAUGACUUUGCUGCUUAUACACCAAAUGAGAGACACGUGGCAUUAGCUUCAGUUUAUGCUUUGCCACCUUCUGUUUUCCACUACAUGCAGUAGAGUUUCAUGUAAAAUGAAAAUAUUUCACAAUUUAGAACCUAACUCUAUGUAACUGAUGAAGAGGUAUAUUUUUGGUGGACAAAAACAAGUUUAAAGCAUCAGCGAUGAUUUUACAUAUUACUAUUGUAUAUUUAUUUCUGUAUUUAUACAUACAUAAGAAACAGAAGCAUUUUCCCACACUUCUCUGGUUCUAAUUUAUUUUUAAUCUCAAUGCUGUAAUUCAUUUGGUCAGUGAAUUUAUACUAAAAUUGUAUCUCACAUUCUUCUUCCUUUAUUUUGCUUUAUUAUUCUUCCUAUUUACGGAAUUUACUUUCAGGUUAUUUGAAUCCUUCCCCAGUUAAUCCUGAUCUUUCAUUUUCUCUCACAUUGCUUCAACAAACUGUCUUAGCCAUUUUUUCUCUCUUUCUCUCUCUCUCUCUCUCUCUCUCUCUUUAUUCAUUUAUUUAUUACUAUUUUAGUAAUAUUAUUACCAUUUUUUUUUACUGCUAAUUUUAAUCUAUAUUUUGAGCCCAGGAAAGAUUUCUCCUGAGUACCAGCAAAAAUGGUAUUAUGAAUAUUCAUAGAUUGCUGUAAUCUUUGAGUUUUAAAAUAGAAAUUACUAUUGUCAUACCAAUGCUUGUUCUAUCUAUUAUAAAAUAUUCAAUUGUGCCUAUAGUUGACCUUAAAUAUCUAGGGGACUUAGCUCUACUUUUUUAAUUCUUUCGCAAGACUAAUUUAUUAAUUAUUACUUGCCAUAAAAAGACUUUGCAAUUUAGUGCUUUAAUGGCUUUUUUCUUCUUUGAGAUUUUGAGAUAGAUAAUAUCCUAGUGGGAAAAAUAUAUAUAUCUUUUUGUGAAUCAGAACCAGAAUGGCCAUUCAUUGCUUAAUUCAUGUGACAGUUUUGUUCAUCAAUUUCUAACACCAUCAAUAAAUAGAAGUAAUGUCUUU
ensembl:lncRNA